rnacentral:rRNA from 1 species
AGAGUUUGAUCCUGGCUCAGGACGAACGCUGGCGGCGUGCCUAAUACAUGCAAGUCGAACGAAGCUUUCUUUCACCGAAUGCUUGCAUUCACCGAAAGAAGCUUAGUGGCGAACGGGUGAGUAACACGUAGGCAACCUGCCCAAAAGAGGGGGAUAACACUUGGAAACAGGUGCUAAUACCGCAUAACCAUGAACACCGCAUGAUGUUCGUGUAAAAGACGGCUUUUGCUGUCACUUUUGGAUGGGCCUGCGGCGUAUUAACUUGUUGGUGGGGUAACGGCCUACCAAGGUGAUGAUACGUAGCCGAACUGAGAGGUUGAUCGGCCACAUUGGGACUGAGACACGGCCCAAACUCCUACGGGAGGCAGCAGUAGGGAAUCUUCCACAAUGGACGAAAGUCUGAUGGAGCAACGCCGCGUGAAUGAAGAAGGCCUUCGGGUCGUAAAAUUCUGUUGUCAGAGAAGAAUGUGCGUGAGAGUAACUGUUCACGUAUUGACGGUAUCUGACCAGAAAGCCACGGCUAACUACGUGCCAGCAGCCGCGGUAAUACGUAGGUGGCAAGCGUUGUCCGGAUUUAUUGGGCGUAAAGGGAACGCAGGCGGUCUUUUAAGUCUGAUGUGAAAGCCUUCGGCUUAACCGAAGUAGUGCAUUGGAAACUGGAAGACUUGAGUGCAGAAGAGGAGAGUGGAACUCCAUGUGUAGCGGUGAAAUGCGUAGAUAUAUGGAAGAACACCAGUGGCGAAAGCGGCUCUCUGGUCUGUAACUGACGCUGAGGUUCGAAAGCGUGGGUAGCAAACAGGAUUAGAUACCCUGGUAGUCCACGCCGUAAACGAUGAGUGCUAAGUGUUGGAGGGUUUCCGCCCUUCAGUGCUGCAGCUAACGCAUUAAGCACUCCGCCUGGGGAGUACGGUCGCAAGACUGAAACUCAAAGGAAUUGACGGGGGCCCGCACAAGCGGUGGAGCAUGUGGUUUAAUUCGAAGCAACGCGGAGAACCUUACCUGAUCUUGACAUCCCGAUGACCGCUUCGUAAUGGAAGCUUUUCUUCGGAACAUCGGUGACAGGUGGUGCAUGGUUGUCGUCAGCUCGUGUCGUGAGAUGUUGGGUUAAGUCCCGCAACGAGCGCAACCCCUAUCUUCAGUAGCCAGCAGGUUAAGCUGGGCACUCUGGAGAGACUGCCAGGGAUAACCUGGAGGAAGGUGGGGAUGACGUCAAAUCAUCAUGCCCCUUAUGACCAGGGCUACACACGUGCUACAAUGGCGUAAACAAAGAGAAGCGAACUCGCGAGGGUAAGCAAAUCUCAAAAAUAACGUCUCAGUUCGGAUUGUAGUCUGCAACUCGACUACAUGAAGCUGGAAUCGCUAGUAAUCGCAGAUCAGAAUGCUGCGGUGAAUACGUUCCCGGGUCUUGUACACACCGCCCGUCACACCAUGGGAGUCAGUAACGCCCGAAGUCAGUGACCCAACCGUAAGGAGGGAGCUGCCGAAGGUGGGACCGAUAACUGGGGUGAAGUCGUAACAAGGUA